rnacentral:rRNA from 1 species
UUUGACCUCAAAUCGGGUGGGAUCACCCGCUGAACUUAAGCAUAUCAAUAG